rnacentral:rRNA from 1 species
UUGCCUACGGGGCGCAGCAGUGGGGAAUAUUGCACAAUGGGGGAAACCCUGAUGCAGCAACGCCGCGUGAGUGAAGAAGUCAUUCGUGAUGUAAAGCUCUAUCAGCAGGGAAGAAAAUGACGGUACCUGAGUAAGAAGCCCCGGCUAACUACGUGCCAGCAGCCGCGGGAAUACGUAGGGGGCAAGCGUUAUCCGGAUUUACUGGGUGUAAAGGGAGCGUAGACGGCAGGGCAAGUCUGAUGUGAAAGCCCGGGGCUCAACCCCGGGACUGCAUUGGAAACUGUCAGGCUAGAGUGCAGGAGAGG